UAUUUCUUCAAACGCAGUCAAGAUUUGAAGUCAUGAUUGCAUUGCGCCAGGAUGUAUGACUUCCAAGCACAGUCAUGAUUCGCUUUAGUAUGAUAAUAUGUAAGCGCUUCCCUAACACUGAAAAACCGCUAAAAUGUGUAUUGGGUUUCCAGCCUUCCCGUUCAUCUCAGCUGGCAAGUAAGUACCAAGUAACAGCUAGUGAUUUGUGUGUACUGAACCAUCAACAUAUUAAACUGUCCAAGACUGGUGAUAGAUAUGUAGUAUUUUAGAUUGACGCAUGCUGACUGGGGAUUAUGAGUAUGGAU